CCUCAGCACAUAGGUCUGGGACUACUGGCAGACCUUGCCCUGGAGACAGACAUGGGAGGAUCGCCAGAGGCCAGCAGCCAGGCUGGAGCAGGACCAGCCCCAGGAGGAGAGGAUUUUCUCCAGUUUCAAGAUAAUCUAGAUUCUCUUGCCUGUUGACCACAGGGAACUGAUAGAAAAACAAAUAAAAGGAAAGCAAGGAAACCAUGUGUCUUGGUGUCGCUGUUGAGCAGGAUGGGAAUGAAAGACUCCAAGUUAGAAGGCAAA